UUAAUACUUCCUCCGUCCGGAAAUACUUGUCCUAGAAAUGGAUGUAUCUAGACUUAUUUUAGUUAUAGAUACAUCCACUUUAUCCAUUUAGAGAACAAAUAUUUCCCGAUGGAGAGGGAGUACCUA
rfam:Triticum aestivum genome assembly, contig: Triticum_aestivum_CS42_TGACv1_scaffold_456993_5DS